rnacentral:rRNA from 1 species
UACGAAGGGGGCUGGCGUUGUUCGGAAUUACUGGGCGUAAAGGGCGCGUAGGCGGUGUGUCAAGUCAGGCGUGAAAGCCCCGGGCUCAACCUGGGAACCGCGCUUGAGACUGGCACGCUAGAGUUCGGGAGAGGAUGGUGGAAUUCCCAGUGUAGAGGUGAAAUUCGUAGAUAUUGGGAAGAACACCGAUGGCGAAGGCAGCCAUCUGGACCGACACUGACGCUGAGGCGCGAAAGCGUGGGGAGCGAACAGG